rnacentral:sRNA from 1 species
ACACGUUCCGGCCAGCGAGCGGCCUGGCGGCAUGCCUCGCCCAGGAUCCACUCGCCAAUCGGGACGAUCAAGCCGGUUUCUUCGGC